GACGCACGCUGGCGGCGUGCCUAAUACAUGCAAGUAGAACGCACAGUUUAUACCGUAGCUUGCUACACCAUAGACUGUGAGUUGCGAACGGGUGAGUAACGCGUAGGUAACCUGCCUGGUAGCGGGGGAUAACUAUUGGAAACGAUAGCUAAUACCGCAUAAUAUUGAUUAUUGCAUGAUAAUUAAUUGAAAGGUGCAAUUGCACCACUACCAGAUGGACCUGCGUUGUAUUAGCUAGUAGGUGAGGUAACGGCUCACCUAGGCGACGAUACAUAGCCGACCUGAGAGGGUGAUCGGCCACACUGGGACUGAGACACGGCCCAGACUCCUACGGGAGGCAGCAGUAGGGAAUCUUCGGCAAUGGACGAAAGUCUGACCGAGCAACGCCGCGUGAGUGAAGAAGGUUGUCGGAUCGUAAAGCUCUGUUGUAAGAGAAGAACGGGUGUGAGAGUGGAAAGUUCACAAUGUGACGGUAUCUUACCAGAAAGGGACGGCUAACUACGUG
rnacentral:rRNA from 1 species